CCUCAGCCCUACGGCGUGCCUUACCCCUCCCUCUUCGUCGUCCUCCCCCUCCCCAUUCGGUUUCGCUUCGGGGUGAGGCGCCGGUUUCUGCCGCCCACGGAAUUCCCUGCGGCUUCCCGCCUGGUUCCUUCCUUCCCACGGAUCCGAGCUCGCCAUCCUCUUCGUCCUCCUCUCCGCUCGGUUGACCGACGCGGAGUGGGGGGGGGGGGGGGGUCCAACCAGGCCUUUUCGUUGAUUUGAGACUCACACCGGAUACUUCCUUAUGGCAUCUGACAUGCAACCACUUAGUGGCCAUGAGAUACCCUCCCGUGUUGUGGAGAACUGUGGAGUUUCUGAUCAUGCAUGUCAUGGCAAAUGCCAAAGCUGUGAUAGCGAUGUAAAACCAUCUUGUGCUGAAGUGAAUGGAAUUUCCUUGUUGAUUGGUAGUCAUACUGAUGGGAAGGCUUCAAAAGAGAAAUGUGGAGCAUGCACUUUUACUUAUGAUUGCGCUGGUCCUGAUGGCUGUUUGAUUGCCACAAAUGGAAGUUGCAUGGCUGUUGAUGAGCUAACACAGCAGUUUGAGAGAGAACAAGCUGGGGCUGCACUAGAGGAUCUGGUUUUCUCUAACGAUGAAGAGGAAGAUGACAGUGACUGGGACCCUGCUAGUGGCCUUGUUAUGAAUAGGUGGUUUUGCUUGAAUUGCACAGUGCCAAAUGUGGACGAGGUUAUGUAUUGCCUGAAUUGCCAUGAGCUUAAGGGAUCAGGUGUAGAUGGAUAUGAUGCUUUCAAAACUCAAAUUGCAGAGGCAGCUUUGGUAUCUCCUGACACAGAAUUGCCGGAGGUGUCUACAGCGAUUGGUUUUGAUGAAAGAAUGCUGCUCCACAGUGAGCUAGAAGUUAAACCAAAUCCACAUCCAGAAAGACCGGACCGCCUUCGUGCAAUUGCUGCCAGUCUUUCUGCUGCAGGAAUCUUUCCCUCAAAAUGUGCUUUGGUACCCCCUAGGGAAAUUACCAAGGAGGAACUCCUAAUGGUUCAUACUCCAGACCACAUUGAAAGUGUUGAGCAGACAAAGAACAUGCUUUACAGUUACUUCACUUCGGAUACUUAUGCAAAUGGACACUCAGCAUGUGCCGCCAAACUUGCAGCAGGACUCUGUGCUGAUCUUGCUAGUUUGAUAGUAUCUGGGCGUGUUCAAAAUGGCUUUGCAAUGGUGAGACCUCCUGGACAUCAUGCAGGGGUGAAGCAAGCAAUGGGUUUUUGUCUUCACAACAAUGCAGCAGUGGCUGCGUUAGCUGCAAAAAGAACAGGUGCCAAGAAAGUCCUCAUAGUUGACUGGGAUGUGCACCAUGGAAAUGGCACACAAGAGAUAUUCGAAGGGGACAAAUCUGUCUUGUACGUAUCGUUACAUCGUCAUGAGUAUGGAAACUUCUACCCUGGAACUGGAGCAGCACAUGAGGUUGGAAUUCAUGAUGGUCAAGGUUUCUCAGUUAAUAUACCUUGGAGCUGUGGCGGUGUUGGAGACAAUGACUACAUCUUUGCUUUUAAGACUGUGGUGCUUCCAAUAGCUGCAGAAUUUGCUCCAGACAUCACAAUAAUAUCUGCAGGAUUCGAUGCAGCUAGAGGUGACCCUCUGGGUUGUUGUGAUGUCACUCCGACGGGAUACUCUAUAAUGACAUCCUUGUUAACUGCUUGCUCAGGGGGAAGAUUGUUAGUUAUACUUGAGGGAGGUGUGAAUGCCAAGUUGCUGCAUCAGAUCCAAAGGAAUGAUUGCCUGGAUGCUGUUGUACUAACAUUGGCCUCUCCAUGUGGAAACUUGCAUGCAUUGAUAUCCCUAGAGCUAUAAUUUCUAGGAAAUGAUGCUCUUCUUUUAAAUAAAAAAUCAUCUUACUCUAAUAAGUGUUCUGGUGGUAAGCAUAUCUAUUUGAGAAGCCCCCCAACAGUACUCAAAUUGUGUUUGUUGUCCUACCGUGCAGAUACAAUCUUCGGUCGAUAUCCUCAUCAGCUACUGAAGUUGUUAAGGUCUUAGUUGGGGACGGUUCAAGUUUUGAUGUUGCAACGGCACCAUCAAAAGAGGGCUUGGAGACUAUUUUACAAGUCCUGAAGAUUCAGCAACAAUUUUGGCCAAUUUUAGGUUCAACCUAUGCAUCACUGCAGGCACAUGAGGGCUAACAAGAAAAGGAAGCAUUCAGGAGGGCCAGGGCCCUUCUGGUGGAAGUUUGGAAGCAAAAGGCUACUGUACAAAGCACUCUAUGAGGGCCCCCUUCUGAGGAAGAUCAAGGGCUUCGGACAAGGAAAAGCAAUUGAUUCGGCAGAUCCUUAGAUGAUGCCGGACAUGAACAGCAUAGUUGUCUGACUGGGGUUCCUAAAGCAGUAGUUUGCAUUUACCUAGAGCCGAAUUUUGACUGGUUUCUUGAAUGGUGGUCGACCAUUUUAGAUGAAGUUUGACAGCAACCCUGUUUUGUUGACGUGUGGUGUUUCAGCCGAUGUAUCAUCUUACCCUGUUUUUUGGCUGGUUCCUACCAUACUAGAUUUUAGCCUCCAGGCUUCAGCGUUAGCAGCAUUGCCUGAUUGGAGUUUGCAUUCCCGUUGGGUUAUUAGAAUGCCAUUGAUGUAUGUAGCAGAUCCUCUAUUGGAAUACCUUGAAGAUUUUGAAUGCGCAUCUCAGUAUUUAGCUCC